GGAUAACAUUUAUGAAACAAAUAAAAGAGAAGGUGCAGGUCGUGUCGUAUUGGGAGGUGAAGGUUUUGGCGGGAAGAAGAGAGGAAUGGCGA